rnacentral:rRNA from 1 species
UAGGGAAUAUUAGAAAUGGACGAAAGUCUGAUCUAGCAACACCGCGUGUGUGAAGAAGGCCUUCGGGUUGUAAAGCACUUUUUGGAAGGAUUAGGAAGGAAUGUACUUCCAGAAUAAGUCUCGGCUAACUACGUGCCAGCAGCCGCGGUAACACGUAGGAGGCAGACGUUAUCCGGAUUUACUGGGCGUAAAGCGCGUGUGGGUGGUUCUGUAAGUAGGGCGUGAAAGCUCCUGGCUCAACUGGGAGAGGCCGUUCUAAACUGCAGGGCUAGAGGAUGGUAGAGGGAGGUGGAAUUCCGGGUGUAGCGGUGGAAUGAGCAGAUAUUCGGAGGAACACCAGUGGCGAACGAGGCCUCCUGGACCAUUCCUGACACUCAGACGCGA